AAAAAAAUACAGAGAGACAAAAGAAGGGGGGCUUUGAAAAUAUUUACUAGUUUGAAAAAAACGGGACUAGCUAACAGUCGUGGGUCGUGGGUAGAAUGUCGUGGGUCGUGGGUAAAAUGUCGUGGGUAAAAAGGCGUGGGUAAAAAGGCGUGGGUCGUGGGUAAAAAGGCGUGGGUCGUGGGUAAAAAGGCGUGGGUCGUGGGUAAAAAGGCGUGGGUCGUGGGUAAAAAGGCGUGGGUAGUGGGUAAAAAGGCGUGGGUCCCCAAUAAAAAGUCGUGGGUCCCAAAUAAAAAGUCGUGGGUCCCAAAUAAAAAGUCGUUGGUCCCAAAUAAAAAGUCGUGGGUCCUGAGAAAAUGCCGUGGGUUCCAAGCAAAAUAUUUCUAUAUAUUUACCUUUCUCCCUUUAGAAUGCGUGUUUUUUUCUUCUGAGACUUUCCCAAAUAUACAUAGUCUUAGAGCGCGUUAUUAAGGCCGGGUUUUUGAUAUCGGCAGAUCGGUUUAUAAAUAUUAUAACCAAGGGUGGAUGAAACAGUUCAACUUCACGCCCCAUAUAGCUCAAAUAUUUGGAAGUUAUAAUCUUAUAGAAAGCGAACUAUUGUAAUUCUUCAAUAGGAAAUAGUGCUACACAUAAAUAGCUAAAUUGUGACAUUCAGGGCUUCACUGUAAUUUGUUGAUCGUCAUGACCCAUAUAGCUAAAAUAUAUGGACGUUAUAAUCUUAUAGACAGAUAAAUUAAUUACUGUGAUUCUUCAAUAGCUCAAGGGCCACAUGUACGAAAGCUGAAUAGUGCUAUCCACUAGAUAUAGUCAAAUUUUUAUAACCGGUAAUACGGUCAUUUAAUAUAACUGUAGGUUACAAAGAAGAUCGCCGGUCUGCAAAAUAGUGAUGCAUCGAUAUCCAUAUCGGUAAUUUUGUUGUCGAUAUUACCGACGUCGUCGUAAACAUUACAAGAAAAUAUAUCUCUAGACAAAUGCAACCGAUGUUGCUGUUAUUUAAAACUGCUGAAGUCUAUCCUAAAGAAUUUAUUUAAUACUGAGAUGUGGAAUUGUAACGAAAUUGAGAGAUCUUUUGGUUUCUGAAAUAUGGCAAACUACAAACGGAACAAACCUUGCAUGUAAACAAUGCUACUCGGACUGUUAUUAAAUGAGCGCUGUGAAAUUUCCAAAUUCCAACAUGCCAUUGACUUCGCUGAAACUUGAUGCUCAAGAAAUAUGUAGAAGUAUACCUCUCUGUU